rnacentral:tRNA from 1 species
ACUUUUAUAGUUUAAAUUAAAAACUUUAUUUUUUCAAAAUAAAAUUGAUAUUUUCUAAAAGUA